GGGCCCGCACAAGCGGUGGAGUAUGUGGUUUAAUUCGAUGCAACGCGAAGAACCUUACCAGGGUUUGACAUCCUGCGAAUCUCUUGGAAACGAGAGAGUGCCUUCGGGAACGCAGUGACAGGUGGUGCAUGGCUGUCGUCAGCUCGUGUCGUGAGAUGUUGGGUUAAGUCCCGCAACGAGCGCAACCCACGUCUUUAGUUGCCAGCACAUUAUGGUGGGAACUCUAGAGGAACUGCCUUCGUAAGGAGGAGGAAGGUGGGGAUGACGUCAAAUCAUCAUGGCCCUUACGUCCAGGGCUACACACGUACUACAAUGGUCGGUACAAAGGGCAGCAAGUUCGCGAGGACAAGCAAAUCCCAUAAACCGUGGCUCAGUUCAGAUCGUAGGCUGCAACUCGCCUACGUGAAGGCGGAAUCGCUAGUAAUCGCAGGU
rnacentral:rRNA from 1 species